rnacentral:rRNA from 1 species
UACGUAGGGUGCAAGCGUUGUCCGGAAUCAUUGGGCGUAAAGCGCGCGUAGGUGGCUUCGUAAGUCCGUUGUGAAAGUCAAAGGCUCAACCUUUGAAAGCCGAUGGAUACUGCGGGGCUAGAGUACGGAAGAGGCGAGUGGAAUUCCUGGUGUAGCGGUGGAAUGCGCAGAUAUCAGGAGGAACACCAAUAGCGAAGGCAGCUCGCUGGGACGUUACUGACACUGAGGCGCGAAAGCGUGGGGAGCGAACAGG